AGCGAACGCUGGCGGUAUGCUUAACACAUGCAAGUCGAGCGAGAAAAUGGCUUCGGCCAUGAGUACAGCGGCGGACGGGUGCGUAACACGUGGAUAAUCUGCCUUUAGGACCGGGACAACCCAGGGAAACUUGGGCUAAUACCGGAUAAGACCACAGUUUCUACGGAAACAGUGGUAAAAGGCGGCUUUCGGGCUGUCACCUAUAGAUGAGUCCGCGUCCCAUCAGGUUGUUGGUGAGGUAAUGGCUCACCAAGCCUAAGACGGGUAGCCGACCUUAGCGGGUGAUCGGCCACACGGGGACUGAGACACGGCCCCGACUCCUACGGGAGGCAGCAGUGGGGAAUAUUGGGCAAUGGGCGCAAGCCUGACCCAGCAAUACCGCGUGAGGGAUGAAGGCCUUCGGGUCGUAAACCUCUGUCAGUAGGAACGAUGGGUUUUGUAGGUUAAUACCCUGCAGACUUGACGGUACCUACAGAGGAA
rnacentral:rRNA from 1 species